AUUGAACGCUGGCGGCAUGCCUUACACAUGCAAGUCGAACGGCAGCACGGGGCAACCUGGUGGCGAGUGGCGAACGGGUGAGUAAUGCAUCGGAACGUACCUUUCAGUGGGGGAUAACGUAGCGAAAGUUACGCUAAUACCGCAUAUUCUGUGAGCAGGAAAGCAGGGGAUCGCAAGACCUUGCGCUGAUUGAGCGGCCGAUGUCAGAUUAGCUAGUUGGUGAGGUAAAGGCUCACCAAGGCGACGAUCUGUAGCGGGUCUGAGAGGAUGAUCCGCCACACUGGAACUGAGACACGGUCCAGACUCCGACGGGAGGCAGCAGUGGGGAAUUUUGGACAAGGGGGGCAAGCCUGAUCCAGCCAUGCCGCGUGAGUGAAGAAGGCCUUCGGGUUGUAAAGCUCUUUCGGCCGGGAAGAAAUCGCACGGGCUAAUACCCUGUGUGGAUGACGGUACCGGAAUAAGAAGCACCGGCUAACUACGUGCCAGCCGCCGCAGUAAUAC
rnacentral:rRNA from 1 species